AGGUUAGACGUGCUGGCACCUAUUGAAGUCCAGUACUACAGUAAAUAAGGAAUUGUAUG
rnacentral:ncRNA from 12 species